UACAGAGGGGGCAAGCGUUGUUCGGAAUUACUGGGCGUAAAGGGCGCGUAGGCGGCCUCUUAAGUCGAACGUGAAAUCCCCGGGCUCAACCCGGGAACUGCGUCCGAUACUGGGAGGCUUGAAUCCGGGAGAGGGAUGUGGAAUUCCAGGUGUAGCGGUGAAAUGCGUAGAUAUCUGGAGGAACACCGGUGGCGAAGGCGGCAUCCUGGACCGGUAUUGACGCUGAGGCGCGGAAAGCUAGGGGAGCAAACGGGG
rnacentral:rRNA from 1 species